GGGGGCUGAUUAGGCAUCUUCUGAAAGAAGCCGAUGGAGAAGAGCGACAGCGACAGCUGGACCUGGUCUCGGCCCAGCCUGGCAGGAGGCUGCUGCCGCCUUCCCCUUCCCUGAGCAGGCGCAGCAGGAACACCGGCACGGCGCCGCUGGAUGGGCCGGAUGGAGACGGCGUGCAGGCGGCGGAAGCCGCCGAGCGAGAGCACGACGGCGCGGAGCUGCUGCUCGGAGAAGCCA
rnacentral:rRNA from 1 species